GAUCGACUAUGUCGAAUAAAAUUCUAGGUAGAAUUAUGAUAAUGACAUUGUCUGCCUAUGUGUCUUGACCAAAUUACGUGCCAGCAGUCGCGGUAAUACGUAGAAGACUAGUGUUAUUCAUGUUUAAUCGGUUUAAAGGGUACCUAGACGGUAAAUCAAGCCUAAAAGGAAAGAAAUGAAGGGACUAAUUUACUAGAGUUACUUAUGAGGGGGUAUUAAAGUACUGCUGGUGUAGAGAUGAAAUUCUGUCAUACCUCUUUUCAAUAGAAAAAUAAUGGCACAGGUAUAGGCGAAAGCAUCCCCUUAUGUGAUAACUGACGUUGAGGGACGAAGGCUUUGUGUAGCGAACAGGAUUAGAUACCCCAGUAGUCAAAGCAGAAAAUGAUGAAUGUCAUAGAUUAGAUAUAUAAGUUUAUUCUAUAAAUGAAAGUGUAAGCAUUCCACCUCAAGAGUAAUUUGGCAACAUUGGAACUGAAAUCAUUAGACCGUUUYUGAAACCAGUAGUGAAGUAUGUUGUUUAAUUUGAUGAUCCGCAAAAAACCUUACCACAAUUUGAAUAUUUAUAUCUUAUAUUGUUUUUUUUUUUACUUUAUUCUAAUUUUCUACUUAAAA
rnacentral:rRNA from 1 species